GCAUAUCAAUAAGCGGAGGAAAAGAAACCAACAGGGAUUGCCUUAGUAGCGGCGAGUGAAGCGGCAAAAGCUCAAAUUUGAAAUCUGGCUCUUUCAGAGUCCGAGUUGUAAUUUGAAGAAGGUAUCUUUGGGCCUGGCUCUUGUCUAUGUUUCUUGGAACAGAACGUCACAGAGGGUGAGAAUCCCGUGCGAUGAGAUGACCCAGGUCCGUGUAAAGUUCCUUCGACGAGUCGAGUUGUUUGGGAAUGCAGCUCUAAGUGGGUGGUAAAUUCCAUCUAAGGCUAAAUAUUGGCGAGAGACCGAUAGCGAACAAGUACAGUGGUGGAAAGAUGAAAAGAACUUUGAAAAGAGAGUGAAAAAGUACGUGAAAUUGUUGAAAGGGAAGGGCUUGAGAUCAGACUUGGCAUUUUGCAUGUUGCUUCUUCGGGGGCGGCCUCUGCGGUUUGUCGGGCCAGCAUCAGUUUGGGCGGUAGGACAAUCGCGCGGGAAUGUGGCACGGCCUCGGCUGUGUGUUAUAGCCCGCGUGGAUACUGCCAGCCUAGACUGAGGACUGCGGUUUAUACCUAGGAUGUUGGCAUAAUGAUCUUAAGUCGCCCGUCUUGAAACACGGACC
rnacentral:rRNA from 1 species